GAAGCUGCCUGCAAAUUCAGGGAGCCCUUCUGAGUCUUAACGAGGGCUUGAAUAUACUUUCAGAGAAAUGCCAGCAAAAACUGUAGUCAUUUGGGGAAGAAGAAGUCUGGAAGAAAAAUACACAGAGGACUAGCACCAAGAGGGUUUGAGCCCCGAGUCAGGCCCUGCACUCACAGUGCCACCCCAGACACCCCUGCAGCUUCCAGCUUUCAAGUGAAUAAGAUGUGUGCCCAACACCACCCAGCCAACAAGGAACAAAGCCAGGAUUUAAAUUUUGACAGUUGCAGCUCAGAGCCU